CAGUCGCCACGGUAAAACAGAGGGUGCGAGCGUUAAUCGGAUUUACUGGGCGUAAAGCGUGCGUAGGCGGCUUUUUAAGUCGGAUGUGAAAUCCCUGAGCUUAACUUAGGAAUUGCAUUCGAUACUGGGAAGCUAGAGUAUGGGAGAGGAUGGUAGAAUUCCAGGUGUAGCGGUGAAAUGCGUAGAGAUCUGGAGGAAUACCGAUGGCGAAGGCAGCCAUCUGGCCUAAUACUGACGCUGAGGUACGAAAGCAUGGGGAGCAAACAGGAUUAGAUACCCCGGUAGUCCCUGUCUCUUAUAC
rnacentral:rRNA from 1 species